rnacentral:rRNA from 1 species
UACGUAGGUGGCAAGCGUUGUCCGGAUUUACUGGGCGUAAAGAGCGCGCAGGCGGUCGUUCAAGUCGCGUGUGAAAGCCCCCGGCUCAACUGGGGAGGGUCACGCGAUACUGAUCGACUCGAAGGCAGGAGAGGGAAGUGGAAUUCCCGGUGUAGUGGUGAAAUGCGUAGAUAUCGGGAGGAACACCAGUGGCGAAGGCGGCUCACUGGCCCGGUACUGACGCUGAGGCGCGAAAGCGUGGGGAGCAAACAG